rnacentral:rRNA from 1 species
AUUGAACGCUGGCGGCAGGCCUAACACAUGCAAGUCGAGCGAGAGGAGGACGGGAGAGUAAUGUAUCGGCAACUGCCUGAUGGAUGGGGUUAACUACCGGAAACUGUAGCUAAUACCGCAUACCAUCAGAUGUGCCCAGGUGGGAUGAGCUAGUAGGUGGGGUAAUGGCUCACCAAGGCGACGAUCCGUAGCUGGUCUGAGAGGAUGACCAGCCACACUGGAACUGAGACACGGUCCAGACUCCUACGGGAGGCAGCAGUGGGGAAUAUUGCACAAUGGGCGCAAGCCUGAUGCAGCCAUGCCGCGUGUGUGAAGAAGGCCUUCGGGUUGUAAAGCACUUUCAGCGGGGAGGCGUUACUCACAGAAUAAGCACCGGCUAACUCCGUGCCAGCAGCCGCGGUAAUAC